rnacentral:rRNA from 1 species
GACGAACGCAGGCGGCGUGCCUAAUACAUGCCAGUCGAGCGGACUUUCAAGAAGCUUGCUUUUUGAAAGUUAGCGGCGGACGGGUGAGUAACACGUGGGCAACCUGCCUGCAAGACGGGGAUAACUCCGGGAAACCGGGGCUAAUACCGGAUAAUAUCUUCCUUCGCAUGAAGGAAGGUUGAAAGGCGGCGCAAGCUGCCGCUUGCAGAUGGGCCCGCGGCGCAUUAGCUAGUUGGUGAGGUAACGGCUCACCAAGGCGACGAUGCGUAGCCGACCUGAGAGGGUGAUCGGCCACACUGGGACUGAGACACGGCCCAGACUCCUACGGGAGGCAGCAGUAGGGAAUCUUCCGCAAUGGACGAAAGUCUGACGGAGCAACGCCGCGUGAGCGAAGAAGGUCUUCGGAUCGUAAAGCUCUGUUGUCAGGGAAGAACAAGUACCGUUCGAACAGGGCGGUACCUUGACGGUACCUGACCAGAAAGCCACGGCUAACUACGUG